rnacentral:rRNA from 1 species
CCUACGGGAGGCAGCAGUGGGGAAUUUUGGACAAUGGGGGAAACCCUGAUCCAGCCAUUCCGCGUGAGUGAAGAAGGCCUUCGGGUUGUAAAGCUCUUUCGGCAGGAACGAAACGGCGGACUCUAACAUAGUCUAUCAAUGACGGUACCUGAAGAAGAAGCACCGGCUAACUACGUGCCAGCAGCCGCGGUAAUACGUAGGGUGCGAGCGUUAAUCGGAAUUACUGGGCGUAAAGCGUGCGCAGGCGGCUUUGUAAGACGGAUGUGAAAUCCCUGGGCUUAACCUAGGAACUGCGUUCGUGACUGCAAGGCUAGAGGGCGGCAGAGGGGGGUGGAAUUCCUGGUGUAGCAGUGAAAUGCGUAGAGAUCAGGAGGAAGGCCGGUGGCGAGGGCGGCCCUCGGGGGAUGGACUGACACUGAGGCGCGAAAGCGGGGGGAGCAAACAGGAUUAGAUACCCCUGUAGU